rnacentral:rRNA from 1 species
UACGGGGGGAGCAAGCGUUGUUCGGAUUUACUGGGCGUAAAGGGCGCGUAGGCGGUCGUGACAAGUCACUUGUGAAAUCUCCGGGCUUAACUCGGAACGGUCAAGUGAUACUGUCGGACUAGAGUACAGAAGGGGCAACUGGAAUUCUCGGUGUAGCGGUGAAAUGCGUAGAUAUCGAGAGGAACACCUGCGGCGAAGGCGGGUCUCUGGACAGUUCCUGACACUGAGACACGAAGGCCAGGGGAGCAAACGGG